CGAACGGUAGCACAGGGGAGCUUGCUCUCCGGGUGACGAGUGGCGGACGGGUGAGUAAUGUCUGGGGAUCUGCCCGAUGGAGGGGGAUAACUACUGGAAACGGUAGCUAAUACCGCAUAACCUCGAAAGAGCAAAGUGGGGGACCUUCGGGCCUCACACCAUCGGAUGAACCCAGAUGGGAUUAGCUAGUAGGUGGGGUAACGGCUCACCUAGGCGACGAUCCCUAGCUGGUCUGAGAGGAUGACCAGCCACACUGGAACUGAGACACGGUCCAGACUCCUACGGGAGGCAGCAGUGGGGAAUAUUGCACAAUGGGCGCAAGCCUGAUGCAGCCAUGCCGCGUGUAUGAAGAAGGCCUUCGGGUUGUAAAGUACUUUCAGCGGGGAGGAAGGGAUGAAGGUUAAUAACCUUCGUCAUUGACGUUACCCGCAGAAGAAGCACCGGCUAACUCCGUGCCAGCAGCCGCGGUAAUACGGAGGGUGCAAGCGUUAAUCGGAAUUACUGGGCGUA
rnacentral:rRNA from 1 species